CACCACCAGGGGUGGUAAACCCGCCACUUCCGCAGGCAGUUGUAGCAUUGCCUUAUUUGGAUUAUCACGGCUACCUACCAUAUGGAGCUCCACAGUUGCAAUAUCGCCCACCUACGUACGUGUAUUUGCCACCAACAGACGAGCCGUAUGAGGGACCACCGGGAGAGAGAUUUGAGGACUGAAGAAUGCAGAGAAUAUGCUACAUGGAUUAUUCUGGACUAUGUCUUUGCCUCUGUUGUAUCUUUGGAUUGUAAUAAUUCUAAGGGACUUUGGAUGUAUUGCGUUCUAUGUGUGGACUUUGGACAUGAGUUAUGUGUAAUAAUUCUAAUGGACUUUGGAUGUAUUACGUUGUA